UAAAAUAACUGAAACUUAUUUUCUCAUAGAAUUAUAGUGAGAGAUUGAAUUGAAGACCUGGGUUAAGAGCUCAAAUAUAUACUAAUUCAACAUUCUAUUCUAUAAUUAAAAUGAUUAGAAUGUAUGAAGUAUUUAAUGAAAAUUGAAGGAAUUACAAACUAAUGAGAAUGAGUUUGUUUAAAAACUGAAAUGAGAAGAAAGAAUGAACAGUAGUACUGACCAAGGAUGAAAGGCAGUGUUCGAAUUCCUCCUCGUCGCUGAGAUUUCACCUUCUUCUUGUUCUGUAGCUCUUCACUACCAAUACUCUUCCCUAUCUCCAUAUGUUAUAUGUUAUGUAUCUCUGCAUAUACUAUCCAUUUUUCAUUUUUGAACUUACCUAUAUAUACACAUUAAUCAUGGCAUAAUAUUAAUACUAAUACUUGUAACUUGUAAUAAUUAAAUCAUUACAGAUCAUGGCUUCGCGACGUAAAGCUGAUUUAAAUAUAUGCUUUCAAUCUACGUCUACAUAUUUUUUUUGGUCUUUCUAAUAACAUUACUAGAUAACCAACCCAAAAUUCAAAUGUUGGCACUAGAACAUGAUGCUAGAAUCUCCUCAAUCAAAAUCCAUGAAGCUAAUACAGAUUACAUCAUAGAAAUAGCUGUUAAAUACCAUAGGAGGAAAAAAAUACAUUCACAGAAGCAAC
rnacentral:lncRNA from 1 species